UGAGGUCGGGUGAUGAGUUGCAUAGUUCAGAUGAUCAACCCUCGUGGUUCUGAUUACAUUGAGUAAUUAGUCUUUCGCUCCUAUCUGACGACCUUA
rnacentral:snoRNA from 7 species